AGAUAGCGGGGAGUCCUUCAGCUGGACACAGAAAGAACAGACAUGGGAGGCAGCUGUGUGUGACCCAGAACUUGGAGGCCAGCCCAACCCGGCUAACCCACAGACCCCGGGUGAGAAAUGAAAUGUUCACUGUUAUGCAUACAGAGCCUCACAAUGUAGCCCUGAAUGGCUGGAACUCCUUGUAUACCAGGCUGGCCUUGACAUCACAGAUAUCGGCUCAUCUCUGCUUCCUAGGUACGGGGAUUAAAGACGUUAGUCAACCACAGCUUGCCAAAGGGCCUGGAGGUAGGGGACCACCACUACCUGUGUGUUCUUGGUCUGGGAGGUGACCCUGGCAGUG
rnacentral:lncRNA from 1 species